UACGAAGGGGGCUAGCGUUGCUCGGAAUCACUGGGCGUAAAGGGUGCGUAGGCGGGUCUUUAAGUCAGGGGUGAAAUCCUGGAGCUCAACUCCAGAACUGCCUUUGAUACUGAGGAUCUUGAGUUCGGGAGAGGUGAGUGGAACUGCGAGUGUAGAGGUGAAAUUCGUAGAUAUUCGCAAGAACACCCGUGGCGAAGGCGGCACUCUGGGACGGUACUGACGCUGAGACGCGAAAGCGUGGGGAGCGAACGAGG
rnacentral:rRNA from 1 species